ensembl:lncRNA
CACACACCGUCACUGUCAUGCCUCCUCCCCUCCUCCCUUACCUCCCUCCCUCCUGUGUCCCUCCAUCCCUUUUAAAGCGUUACCAUAUUUGACUGCAGCUCCUGCAGCAGCACACCUCCACAAACUCCACUCUCUCUCCUGUCAAAAUGCCAGACUUUGCCGACGCUGUGCCAGCACCAUGCCAGGUAAUCAAAGAGGACUCUGACAAAUGCUUUACCUCAGGUUCUUCACUUUCCCAUCUUCUUAAUACGCUGGAAGAAACCAUCUGAAAACUGAAGAGGGGGGUGUUGCUUAUGAAUUUACCUCCAUACUUCUACUUAUUCUGUUAUAAUUGUUGUAAUUGUUAUACUCUAAGACUAAUUAGCUUACUGUCGAUAACAAGUUUGUAUGAUACCUUACAAUAAACCUUUUUCAACAUACA